rnacentral:tRNA from 1 species
GCCAAUUUGGUCUAGUGGUUAAGAUACCAGACUUGAGACCAGGAGACUGUGAGUUCUAGUCCUGCCUUAGGCG